rnacentral:rRNA from 1 species
AAUACGAAGGGGGCUAGCGUUGCUCGGAAUUACUGGGCGUAAAGGGCGCGUAGGCGGAUAGUUAAGUCAGGGGUGAAAGCCCGGGGCUCAACCUCGGAAUUGCCUUUGAUACUGGAUAUCUUGAGUACGGAAGAGGUAUGUGGAACUCCGAGUGUAGAGGUGAAAUUCGUAGAUAUUCGGAAGAACACCAGUGGCGAAGGCGACAUACUGGUCCGUUACUGACGCUGAGGCUCGAAAGCGUGGGGAGCAAACAG